rnacentral:rRNA from 1 species
UGGGGAAUAUUGCACAAUGGGCGAAAGCCUGAUGCAGCAACGCCGCGUGAGCGAUGAAGGCCUUCGGGUCGUAAAGCUCUGUCCUCAAGGAAGCGGUACUUGAGGAGGAAGCCCCGGCUAACUACGUGCCAGCAGCCGCGGUAAUACGUAGGGGGCUAGCGUUAUCCGGAAUUACUGGGCGUAAAGGGUGCGUAGGUGGUUUUUAAGUCAGAAGUGAAAGGCUACGGCUCAACCGUAGUAAGCUUUUGAAACUGAAGAACUUGAGUGCAGGAGAGGAGAGUAGAAUUCCUAGUGUAGCGGUGAAAUGCGUAGAUAUUAGGAGGAAUACCAGUAGCGAAGGCGGCUCUCUGGACUGUAACUGACACUGAGGCACGAAAGCGUGGGGAGCAAACAGGAUUAGAUACCCGUGUAGU